UACAGAGGGUGCGAGCGUUAAUCGGAUUUACUGGGCGUAAAGCGUGCGUAGGUGGCUCGCUAAGUCGAUUGUGAAAGCCCUGGGCUCAACCUGGGAAUUGCAGUCGAUACUGGUGAGCUAGAGUUCGGUAGAGGGUGACGGAAUUCCCGGUGUAGCGGUGAAAUGCGUAGAUAUCGGGAGGAACAUCGAUGGCGAAGGCAAUCACCUGGGCCUGAACUGACACUGAGACACGAAAGCGUGGGUAGCAAACAGG
rnacentral:rRNA from 1 species